UCUAAGGAGAGUGGCUGUUGAUAUGCUUUGUGGUUUUGUUUCUGUGAUUUGGGUGCUAGGGAUCCUGGUUUCACCCAUGUUCUACCACUGGGGUAUGCCUCAGGCCUUGCACUUGGAACUUUGAGUUAUCUCUACAAUGCAAAACUUAUCAGAAGCAUAUUAUUCCCUACUCUGUAAGAUAAAAACUCUGAUCAGAGUAUAAGAUGAGCAAAAAAAAAAAAAGAAGCCAGGGACAGUGCUUAGG